UACAGAGGUCUCAAGCGUUUGUUCGGAUUCAUUGGGCGUAAAGGGUGUGUAGGUGGCGCCGUAAGUCGGGUGUGAAAUUUCGGAGCUUAACUCCGAAACUGCAUUCGAUACUGCGGUGCUUGAGGACUGGAGAGGAGACUGGAAUUUACGGUGUAGCGGUGAAAAUGCGUAGAUAUCGUAAGGAAGACCAGUGGCGAAGGCGGGUCUCUGGACAGUUUCCUGACGCUGAGGCACGAAGGGUCAGGGGG
rnacentral:rRNA from 1 species